GUUUUUGCUCUGGUAGCAUGUACUAAAAUUGGAAUGACAAGAGAUUAUUAACAUGGCCCCUGAAGAAGGAUGACAUGCAAAUUUGGGAACUGUUCCAAAAUAGA
ensembl:snRNA U6 U6 spliceosomal RNA